rnacentral:snoRNA from 12 species
CGGAGGACUGAGAAGGUGGGGCAGUUCUGUACCAUGCUGCCUUCCACUGGUUAAGACCUCCAAGAGCAAAGGCCUACCAAGGUAGAAGAUGUCCCUCUGUCACCUGUAGAGGGGCAGCACUGAGCUGGCCGACAUUUG